rnacentral:rRNA from 1 species
AACCCUUGAGAGUGGCGAACGGGUGAGUAAUAUAUCGGAACGUGCCCAGUCGGUGGGGGAUAACGUAGACGAAAGUUACGCUAAUACCGCAUACGAUCUAAGGAUGAAAGCGGGGGAUCGCAAGACCUCGCGCGAUUGGAGCGGCCGAUAUCAGAUUAGGUAGUUGGUGAGGUAAAGGCUCACCAAGCCAACGAUCUGUAGCUGGUCUGAGAGGACGACCAGCCACACUGGAACUGAGACACGGUCCAGACUCCUACGGGAGGCAGCAGUGGGGAAUUUUGGACAAUGGACGCAAGUCUGAUCCAGCCAUUCCGCGUGCAGGAUGAAGGCCCUCGGGUUGUAAACUGCUUUUGUACGGAACGAAAAGGUUUCUAUUAAUACUAGGAGCUCAUGACGGUACCGUAAGAAUAAGCACCGGCUAACUACGUG